rnacentral:rRNA from 1 species
UACGUAGGUGGCAAGCGUUGUCCGGAUUUACUGGGCGUAAAGAGCGCGCAGGCGGUCGUUCAAGUCGCGUGUGAAAGCCCCCGGCUCAACUGGGGAGGGUCACGCGAUACUGAUCGACUCGAAGGCAGGAGAGGGAAGUGGAAUUCCCGGUGUAGUGGUGAAAUGCGUAGAUAUCGGGAGGAACACCAGUGGCGAAGGCGGCUCGCUGGGACGGUACUGACGCUGAGGCGCGAAAGCGUGGGGAGCAAACAGG